UCGGACGUGGUGUAGCGACACGGCCUCUUUCUAUAGUCGAUGAAAAACUUCCAAGAGGCAGAUCCGGGUUCGAUUCCCGGCGUCCGAG